ACACUUAUCCAGCAGGGGAGAUACUAUGAUUGAUUACAAAGGCAGUUUCCCCAGGUUUAGGUUUAUCCAUUGCACUCUCUGCAAUUUCCCCAAAUGUAGGAAACUCAAUUGCAUAAUUUGUAGUGGUGGAGGACUGUACUCCUGUUCUCCC
rnacentral:snRNA from 1 species